CAGCCUCUCGAGUGCUGGGAUCACAGGUGUGUGUCACCAUGCCCAGUUCUCCCCAAAACAAAUUUGAGCAGUGCUUUUCUGUUCAUUCUUAACUGUUUCAAUGAAUAAAAGACAGUCUUGCAAGCACAAGCGCCUUCACUAAGUUGUCUGGGGGCCCCUCCCCCCGCUGGCUCCUGUCUCCACGGCUUCCCAGUUCAGCCCCUACAGUAGCCUCAUCUUCCACCCUAAAAAUGCUCCCCUCCUCUGCCCACCUGGCAGCUUCCAGUCCGUGCAGAGACUCUCAGCCCCAUCUGGUGCCAACCUCAUAUCACAAAGGCCAAGAUGGCCCUCCCAGCCCCUCCCCUCCAAGUGGAAUUUGUCAUUCCUUCCCGGCUCCCUGGCUGUGCUUCCUCUAUUGCUCUAUUAAGGCUCUAAUCACCCUGCACUGUAAUUUAUCUGUUUACAGAGAAGCCUUCUCUACUAGGAGAGCUCAUUCUGAGGCAGGCCCAGUGUGAUUCACCUCUGAGUUCCCACCUGGAGUCACACCUGGCCCCAGGAAAAGAUCGUCCUAUGAAUCACUGGAGGCAGCCCUGUGGGUAUCGGCUGCACAGAGUCUUCUGUUAAAUGAUCCUCCUGGUUCUUUUCUCACGUUUGUGUCUGUUCUUGCAGGGCCAAGGCACCAAGAGUAAAUAAAGGAUUGUCGGGACUGGAAAAGACUCCGGAAGCCAACUUUACAAUGUCCAGUCCCAGAUGGCCUCUGCCCCCGGCGCCUUGACGUAAAGUUGCCCUGAACUCCAGGAGGAACGGGACCUGGUUCCCAGCCCACAGAGGGAGCAGCUCCCCCGACAGAAACUGGGCAGCCCCAGCUCAGCGUGGAAGUGUCCUUCAGCUGAGGAGGCCUCUGGAGCCCAGAAGCCAGGCCUCGGCACUGUUCCACCUGCCUGGCCACCUCAGCGGGCUGCACCAGGCCAGCCCUCCAAGCUGCACGAGCCGGAGCACUUCCCAGUUCCUCCUCACCUCCCAGCUCCGCCUGUGUCCCCCGCCGUGUCCUGAGAUGUCUCCGUGGGGGAGUCCUACCUCACAGGGUGACGUGAAGGCCUAUCUCCCUUCUGAGGACUCCUCCGGGCUGCGCCCUGACAGCAUCAAAAUUUAAGUUCAGGCUAGGCACAGGCCUGGUCUCAGCCCUCUGGGAGGCUAAGAUAGAAGGAUCACAGUUUCCAUCCCAGCCUUGGCAAUUUAGCAAUAUCCUGAGACCCCGUCUCAAAAUGAAAAAUAAGAACAAAGAGGGCCUUGGAAUGUACUCAGUGAGAAGACCCUGGUUUCCAUUCCUAGCACCACACAUACCACAAAACAGAAUGACACAUCAUGAAGAAACAUGAGCCUUUAUAAAGCCUCCCCCUAGUUCUUCCCCGAUCUGUGACCUACUCAGCUUCAGUUUGUUCUUUAGGUACCAGGGAUCGAACUCAGGUCCUUGCACUUGCAAAGCAGGUGAAUCCCCAGCCCUUAGCUUCAGCUUUUUCAUCUGUAAACUGGGGAUGAUACAACAGCCUGGCGCAGGUCUGGCGCACGUCUGGCGCACGGUAGGUACCAAGUAGUGUUUAUCUCUCCUUUCAGAUUUUCACAAAAUGUGGUCUUUCCUCUUAGUGUCCUUAGCCACUAGCUACAUUAGAGUUUAGCUUGAUUGAAUUCAGAUACUACAGAUUUUGUCAAGUGGAUCAUAAAACCUGAAAAAUAAUCCUGUGCAUCCAUAUACUUUUUUUUUUUUUUUGGUACUGGGGAUCAAACUCAGGACCUUGCACUUGCACAGCAGGCAGCAGAACCACUGAGCUAAAUUCCCGGCUCUAUAUAUACUUUAAUAACCAAGAGAAUUUUAGAAAAUUUUACUCUCUUUGUAAAAGCUACCCUUUAGCCCAGAAUGUGGGUAAUUUUACAAGUGUAUUUUCUGAAAACUUAAUAAAAUAAACUCAUUUUAUUAGUGGCAAAAA